GGCAUCUGUGUCCUUCAAGGAUGUGACUGUGGAGUUUACCCAGGAGGAGUGGCGGCAGAUGAGCCCUGCUCGGAGGACCCUGUACAGAGAUGUGAUGCUGGAGAACUACAGCCACCUUGUGUCUUCGGUUUUGUGUUCUUGUGCCUGCAGAAUCCUGAUUCAAGAAGGAAAUAAGAGCAACAGCAGGAAAAGGCUUGUACCCUCUACCUGAACUCUGGCUUCUGUUGCACUGUGAGACUAUCCAUGAACUUGACCACAGUUGGUUAUAAGGACUUGAAUGGCUCCAACACAGUGUCUAGAACCCGACUGGCCAAGAAUCUGAUUCGGACACUCACUAAAACACUUUCCUUGAACACUGCUGUUUAUUUAUUUUGAUUUAUCUUGAAAAAGAUUAUCCACAGGUAAGUUGCAGAGUCUUUUUUGCAGCCUUAUCUAUGAAUGUGAUAGUGCUGCCAUAUGGGUAUCUUGUACUGAGGUCAUGGUAGUCAGUUUACAGAGUGUAAGAAGCCUUGUGUGGGGGCAGAAAUUCGCGCCUCAAUCAUCUAUAUAUUGGGAACCCUAAGUGUCUAGCUGGUGAAAGAAUGAGAACAUGACCUUACCAGCACAAGGUUUUUUGUUUGUUUGUUUGUUUGUCCUUUUAGGGCUACACCUGUGGCAUAUGGAGGUUCCCAGGCUAGAGGAU